CAGUCGCCGCGGUAAUACGAAGGGGGCUAGCGUUGUUCGGUUUUACUGGGCGUAAAGCGCACGUAGGCGGACUUUUAAGUCAGGGGUGAAAUCCCGGGGCUCAACCCCGGAACUGCCUUUGAUACUGGAAGUCUUGAGUAUGGUAGAGGUGAGUGGAAUUCCGAGUGUAGAGGUGAAAUUCGUAGAUAUUCGGAGGAACACCAGUGGCGAAGGCGGCUCACUGGACCAUUACUGACGCUGAGGUGCGAAAGCGUGGGGAGCAAACAGGAUUAGAUACCCCAGUAGUCCCUGUCUCUUAUAC
rnacentral:rRNA from 1 species